CAUCGUGCAGUACCAAUCCGUAAGGCGAAAAUGGAAUAUUAUACAUUGUUUUAAACUACCCUUUCGUAUCGUGGAUAUCCUACAGGUUUGUUCGGAUAAACUUCCCAUUGAGGAUUCAGGCUGAUUCUCUCUUGCCAAUUUUACUGGAUUAUUAGUGAUUGAUGUGGGACCAGAACUACAAAUAUAUUUGAUGUUUCAGGGCAGUUGAAGAGUGUAUGCUCCGGAUCAUCGUUCGGGUCAUCACAGAAGCAACACUUCGGCGACCUCUCUUUACCUAUUUUAUU